rnacentral:rRNA from 1 species
GAGUUGCGAACGGGUGAGUAACGCGUAGGUAACCUGCCUAUUAGAGGGGGAUAACUAUUGGAAACGAUAGCUAAUACCGCAUAACAGUAUGUAACACAUGUUAGAUGCUUGAAAGAUGCAAUUGCAUCGCUAGUAGAUGGACCUGCGUUGUAUUAGCUAGUAGGUAGGGUAAUGGCCUACCUAGGCAACGAUACAUAGCCGACCUGAGAGGGUGAUCGGCCACACUGGGACUGAGACACGGCCCAGACUCCUACGGGAGGCAGCAGUAGGGAAUCUUCGGCAAUGGGGGGAACCCUGACCGAGCAACGCCGCGUGAGUGAAGAAGGUUUUCGGAUCGUAAAGCUCUGUUGUUAAGGAAGAACGAGUGUGAGAAUGGAAAGUUCAUACUGUGACGGUACUUAACCAGAAAGGGACGGCUAACUACGUGCCAGCAGCCGCGGUAAUACGUAGGUCCCGAGCGUUGUCCGGAUUUAUUGGGCGUAAAGCGAGCGCAGGCGGUUAGAAAAGUCUGAAGUGAAAGGCAGUGGCUCAACCAUUGUAGGCUUUGGAAACUGUUUAACUUGAGUGCAGAAGGGGAGAGUGGAAUUCCAUGUGUAGCGGUGAAAUGCGUAGAUAUAUGGAGGAACACCGGUGGCGAAAGCGGCUCUCUGGUCUGUAACUGACGCUGAGGCUCGAAAGCGUGGGGAGCGAACAGGAUUAGAUACCCUGGUAGUCCACGCCGUAAACGAUGAGUGCUAGGUGUUGGGUCCUUUCCGGGACUCAGUGCCGCAGCUAACGCAUUAAGCACUCCGCCUGGGGAGUACGACCGCAAGGUUGAAACUCAAAGGAAUUGACGGGGGCCCGCACAAGCGGUGGAGCAUGUGGUUUAAUUCGAAGCAACGCGAAGAACCUUACCAGGUCUUGACAUCCCGAUGCUAUUUCUAGAGAUAGGAAGUUUCUUCGGAACAUCGGUGACAGGUGGUGCAUGGUUGUCGUCAGCUCGUGUCGUGAGAUGUUGGGUUAAGUCCCGCAACGAGCGCAACCCUUAUUGUUAGUUGCCAUCAUUAAGUUGGGCACUCUAGCGAGACUGCCGGUAAUAAACCGGAGGAAGGUGGGGAUGACGUCAAAUCAUCAUGCCCCUUAUGACCUGGGCUACACACGUGCUACAAUGGCUGGUACAACGAGUCGCAAGCCGGUGACGGCAAGCUAAUCUCUGAAAGCCAGUCUCAGUUCGGAUUGUAGGCUGCAACUCGCCUACAUGAAGUCGGAAUC